ACUGAGAAAUUAUCAGUUUUGAUUGUGGAUAAUUAUGGAGAUAGCACAGACAUUCAAGGAUAAUUCAACAAUGGCCUGAGCAAAAUAUAAGCAGAGAAGUUCCUUUUCAUUUGUGUUGGCUGCAUUUUGUCAUCAUUGGAGAAGAUACAAAAAUGGAGUCAGAACAGACCUGACCAUCUGUAAAGUGUCCAUUACAAAAAACAGAGGUCAAGAGGGAUGUCUUUCAAAAAAUGGAUGGAAGGAGAAGUCAAGGACCAUCUCUUGAAUAAUUUGAUCUCCUUUAUUUGAGAGGAGGAAGCUGUGACAACAAGUCCUGUCAAAUAGUCUUAAGAGCUGAAGAAGAUGAGUGAAAUUCUUCUUUUCCCAUUUAAACAGAAUUAUUUUGAAGCCUCAAAUGCAAAGCCCAGGAGAGAAAACAACAGGGUAGCAUAGUGCUUAAGGUGCUCACCUGAAGAAGAAAGCUUGACUCUACAUAACUCAGUGUUAGCUGCCUGCUGCUGGAAAAAUAGAACUUGUCUGAAGUAGAAGGA